GAGGGUACAGCUCAGUGGUAUAGCAUGUGCUUAGCAUGCACAAGGUCCUGGGUUCAAUCCCCAGUAGCUCCG
rnacentral:tRNA from 1 species